ACGCUCGACACCUACGUGAGGCAGCAGUGGGGAAUAUUGCACAAUGGGGGAAACCCUGAUGCAGCAACGCCGCGUGAAGGAAGACGGUUUUCGGAUUGUAAACUUCUGUUCUUAGUGAAGAUAGUGACGGUAGCUAAGGAGCAAGCCACGGCUAACUACGUGCUAGCAGCCGCGGUAAUCUGAGCGGGCUGGCAAGGC
rnacentral:rRNA from 1 species